UUCACGGAUGGUGAUUUAGUCACGCUGCGCGAGUUCGCGGCUCGCGUCGAGAUAGCUCAUCGCCCCGCGCGAUCCGGGGUCGUAGUC
rnacentral:tRNA from 1 species